GAUGAAGAACGUAGCGAAAUGCGAUAAGUAAUGUGAAUUGCAGAAUUCAGUGAAUCAUCGAAUCUUUGAACGCACAUUGCGCCCACCAGUAUUCUGGCGGGCAUGCCUGUUCGAGCGUCAUUUCAACCCUCAAGCCCAGCUUGGUGUUGGGGAUCGGCACAGGCGCCCUCGGGCGCCCGCCGUCCCCUAAAUCUAGUGGCGGUCCCGCUGCAGCCUCCUCUGCGUAGUAGUUUUCUCCUCGCAAGGGCAGCUCGGUGGCGACCUCGCCGUAAAACCCCCAACUUCUGAAAGGUUGACCUCGAAUCAGGUAGGAAUACCCGCUGAACUUAAGCAUAUCAAUAAGCGGAGGA
rnacentral:misc_RNA from 1 species